rnacentral:rRNA from 1 species
GGGCCGGGCCGGUGCCGCAGUCUCCGUGCGAUCCGACGCACUUCCUCCCGCCCCUUGGACGCCGCAGCCGGUUGGGUCGCUGCGCGAGUCGGCCAUAAGGACGGGCAGCGGAAGGUGGCCGGUGGCGUUCCUCGUGUUCGUCGCCGGUCGUUAUCCAGCCCGCCCGUGGCGCGACACCCGACCGAGGUCGAAGGUCCCGGUUAGGACCUUGCCGUCCCCUCCCCCGUGGUCGAGCAGGAGCGCCAGCAGGCGAUUCCCCGUCCGGUCGUCUCCACUCUCCGAGUGGGCGGUCGCCGGGUGACGCCGUUGGCGAGGUGUCUUCCUGCGCGGGGUUGUUUUUCCGGCGGCUCGCGGCGAGUAGGUCGGUCACCCACCCGACCCGUCUUGAAACACGGACCAAGGAGUCUAACAUGUGCGCGAGUCACGGGGUCUUGCUUAGGCCCAGAGGCGCAAUGAAAGUGAAGGCCGGCCUCGACGCCGGCCGAGUUGGGAUUCUCC